rnacentral:rRNA from 1 species
GUUCGCUGGUCUAUUUUGUUUUAAGAGUGUGUUUAGAGUGGGGGUGGUACGGGGACCGAGAGCCAGCUCGAGGAGAGGGGGUGCUAGAGCAGCAGCGGCGGUGGUGGGUGCGGCCGGCCAAGGCCGCUAGAGGCCGGCGUACGUUGUACGGGGGUUCGAGGCGGGAUGGGAGGGGAGGUAGGUCUAGGUACGGAGUUCCAGACGUGGGAACGGGUGCCGAUCCCUAAGCCCGCGGGGGUACAAGAACGGCGGCUCAUGGGUCCAGUCGGGCGACCGGUUGCUCGUCGUGGGGCGUGAAUGCGCACGGGUCCGGCUGCUCAUCAUGCCCCUAACCGGCGCCUGCCUCUGCUCACGUCCGCGCCGUCGUCCUCUUCGAUACCGUCACCGCCUAGACCACUGGCGGCCCAACCGAGCAGUAAGCACCGGCCGGCCUCAGCGCCACUCCGUGACAGCAACCACCUAAGGCCACCGACCGACUGCCGGUUAACGAGAACCUGCGGUGACGUCGACGAGCAAAGACUUAAAAGUCAUUACGCCGAUCGAUACGGUUCACGCAAAAGACUUAAAAGCAUUCACGUUGUCGGUUCAAGUCAAAAUCAAUUCACAUCAUGAUCACAUCCGAAACCCUAUAGUCACAUCAUGAUCACAUACUGUUUGUUUAAUCUACAAUCGUCUAUCUACGUGUUAAUAAAGUCAUUACGGUUCAAGUUAAAAGCAAGUAACAUCACGAUGAGUUCAACUCAAAUCAAGUCCAUAUUUAAAAGAUAACUGCGUAUACAACGUCGUCAGGCGCACUAACACUAAGAGCACAGCAACUAUCGAACCUCGUCAGCCAAGGCCAGGUAGAUGAUGAGCACUGGCCCUUACUUCCUAGUACAGCGACUAUCAAGUCCUAAGGUUCUAGUUUAAUAGACCCGACCCCGUUCUUUUCCUUGUACGAGGCCAGAGGCCGUUAGAUUAUCUAAGUCAUUCCUGACAUUCGACUAGUGUAUCACAAAACUUCCUCAUUAUAGUUUAUACAACGUCCUAAGUACCAAACCCUCUUUGAACACGUAACUCAAGUUAUAUUCCUUUUCGAACUCUUCCAACGGAAAACAAGAACGUUCUACAUCGUGAGUACCACUACUAUUUAUAUAAGAAAAGUUAAACAAAGACUAUUACGGAACGAAAAAAAAUAUGUUUCAAUACUGGUGUUUUAAUACGAGUAUUUUUUAAUAAAAAGUAGUGGUAUAUUUUUAUCGUAUACAUGUGUAUUACAUAGCUUCCCGCGCCGCACAACGGCGCACCCGUACCGAUGAUAUAUGAUACGAUAACAAUGAAUCACGAGAUAUCCAAUGACAAUAUGACAUGAUUUCGAGGUCCAAGAAAACUCAAGGAUCCUCACCAGAACCAAGUAACAAAUUAAGGUCCUAAACACUCAAGGAUCAUCCCUUGUGUACCUGUACUUCGAUACCGCCGCUGCUUCCACUAUAGCUGUACCCCGACGCCGCUGCUACUAAUGCUGUUGUAGCUGUAGUUGUGUCCCGAUGCCACCGCUGGUUCUGCUGCUGUAGCAGUACCACGACGCCGCCGCUGCUGCUGCUGCUGUAGUUGUGCUGGAACACCUUCGAGGCUACGGCUACUGCAUCUGCGCACCGUAUAUAACACACACACACACACGGGUGCACGCACGCACACAAUUAAUAGAUGUAGUCUAUACAUACUAACUACUAACUUACAUAUGUAUUGUACAUGCAUAACACUUUACGUACAGAUCUGACUUUAUCCAUCCGAAAAUAAAAAAAUUUAGGAUUAAACAAUGAUGAUCGCACCCACAUAGUAUCUUCGCGAUGACGAUAAGGAAAUGAU